rnacentral:rRNA from 1 species
AUUGAACGCUGGCGGCAUGCCUUACACAUGCAAGUCGAACGGCAGCGGGGGAGAAGCUUGCUUUUCCUGCCGGCGAGUGGCGAACGGGUGAGUAAUACAUCGGAACGUGCCCUGUAGUGGGGGAUAACUAGUCGAAAGAUUAGCUAAUACCGCAUACGACCUGAGGGUGAAAGUGGGGGACCGCAAGGCCUCAUGCUAUAGGAGCGGCCGAUGUCUGAUUAGCUAGUUGGUGGGGUAAAGGCCUACCAAGGCGACGAUCAGUAGCUGGUCUGAGAGGACGAUCAGCCACACUGGGACUGAGACGCGUGCCAGACUCCUACGGGAGGCAGCAGUGGGGAAUUUUGGACAAUGGGCGAAAGCCUGAUCCAGCAAUGCCGCGUGUGUGAAGAAGGCCUUCGGGUUGUAAAGCACUUUUGUCCGGAAAGAAAUGGCUCUGGUUAAUACCUGGGGUCGAUGACGGUACCGGAAGAAUAAGGACCGGCUAACUACGUGCCAGCCGCCGCGGUAA